UUACGGGAGGCAGCAGUGGGGAAUAUUGCACAAUGGGCGCAAGCCUGAUGCAGCCAUGCCGCGUGUAUGAAGAAGGCCUUCGGGUUGUAAAGUACUUUCAGUCGUGAGGAAGGUGUUAAGGUUAAUAACCUUAGCAAUUGACGUUAGCGACAGAAGAAGCACCGGCUAACUCCGUGCCAGCAGCCGCGGUAAUACGGAGGGUGCGAGCGUUAAUCGGAAUUACUGGGCGUAAAGGGCACGCAGGCGGUUAAUUAAGUUGGAUGUGAAAUCCCCGGGCUUAACCUGGGAAUGGCAUUCAAGACUGGUUAGCUAGAGUCUUGUAGAGGGGGUAGAAUUCCAUGUGUAGCGGUGAAAUGCGUAGAGAUGUGGAGGAAUACCGGUGGCGAAGGCGGCCCCUGGGACAAAGACUGACGCUCAUGUGCGAAAGCGUGGGGAGCAAACAGGGAUUAGAUACC
rnacentral:rRNA from 1 species